UGAUGAUCUCGUUUCUUUAACAAGAAAGUAAGAGAUGUUUAAAAUAUAAUUAUACCCUCCCGACAAAAGAAAACUUUCAAUUCCAUACUAAAAACUAAAUAUUUUAUUGCGGAUCACGAAAAACGUGCGAAAUUACAGUGGAUUUCCACACAAUUUCGAGAAAAUAAUGCCAUGAUUGACGACAUUAAUUUACAUCAUAAAUAAGAACAUUGCGUUAUUUCUUACAAGAUUUCAUGGACGCAACUUUUUUAUAACUUUUUUAUUCGCGAUAUAAUCUUCAAGGAAAACGUCUCUUUCGUCGAUCAUUGCUCAUAUCUCAGAUCACAGACACAAGUAUUGUAAAUUGCUUAACAUAUAAUAGCUAUGAUAAAAAACACUGCUUGCUAAUCGUCUGAAGAAAAGUAUAAUUAGCAGGUCUGUCGGUGAAAUACGGCAGUAUGUAACGAACUUCAGUGAGUUGUUGAUCUUGUAACGUCCGUGAUCCAUUUGUGAUUUUCGAUUAAGAAAAUAACGCGUCGAUUCCGCUAAUCGAACGCUUCAUCGAGAUAUCGACAUUAAAAUGAAGUUUUUCAUGAAAAUGUUGUUCGCGCUGGCGUUAUUAAUCUUGAUCGUUUUAUCGCCAACCAUUUGUAAAGAUGAAGACCAUAAAGACCCACGGGAUGGUGUAUGGAAUAGUACACAUUCUGGUUUACUGAAUAUAACUCGUUAUCAAAUCAUAAGUUCGCCAGAUCUAUCAAAAUCUCCAGAUAUAUCAAAAUUGCCAGAUCUAAUAAAAGCCCAGAAAAUCAACGGCAAGAGAAAGAUGAGAAACGUCGAGUAGCAGAAUAAUUUCAUUCACUAAGGUGCGAAAGUCGCUAAGCGUAAUUCGCUAAGCUAUUCAAGGAUAAAUCGAGAAAAAUGACGAGCAAAACAAGACGAAUAUUAAUAAUGUCCAACAAUGUAACGAUAGCAAUUUUAUUAGAUUAUAAUUUAUUGUGCGUAUGUGGAAGACAUUGUCCACUUUUUAAACCGUCAGGUUCACCGUUAAUUAUGUAUAGUACUGUGUAUAACUGUGUAUAGUAAUAUUUGGCGAAGUGAGAUGAAAUAUAUCAAUUCAAAGUGUCGCAUAAGAAUCAUGUUGCAUUCUUUUAUAAAAAAGCUGCUCACUUGCACUUUGCACUUAUAUCAAACGAUAUUUUCCCGGAAUCCUACGUUCGUUAAAUUAGCCGAUGCCGGUACUCGACAAAUGUCAACUUCGGACAUAUGCAUUGUUUUUACCAAUUUUUCUAUUAAAAUAGACAUUCUAUAAAAUGUUCAUAACAUGUUUCAUACAAUUGUUAUAAAUUAAAUUAGUAGUGUAUAGAAGUAUAAUAAAUAAAAAAUGCCGCUACCGUAUUCCUCUUGACGUACUCGUUUUUCUAAUGACAAGAUAGUAGAAGAUGUUUAAAAUAUAAUUAUACCCUUUCACCAAAAGAAAAUCUGUACUUUCAAUUUUAUAUUAAGAACUAAAUGUUUUAUUGCGAAUAAUAAAAGACAUUAGGGAAUUAUAGUCGGUUUCCAUACAAUUUCGGAAAAAUGAUGCUAAGAUUGAUUGUUGUUAACUUACAUAAUGAAAAAGAAUCUUAUUACGUUACUUUUUUCAAGAUUUUAAGGAUGCGAUUCUUUUAUCAUUUUUUCCCUGUCCCAUAUGAUAAAUUUUUAUCCGCGAUAUAAUUUUCAAGGAAACGUCUCCUUCCUCAUCGAUUUUCCCUCAUAUUUUAGAAUACAUACGAGGAAAUUGCUUCAUAUACGUCAACUACGACAAAAAGCACUGCACGUUAAUUGUUUGAAAAAGAUUAUAAAUAACAGGUAUAUCGGUGGAAUGCGGCAGAAUGUAACAAACUUCAACGAGUUGUUGUAUUGUAACGUCUGCGAUCCAUGUGUGAUUUUCGAUUAAAAAAAUAACGUGUCAGUUCCGCCGAUCACGUGCUUCAUCGAAAUAUCGACAUUAAAAAUGAAGUUUUUCAUGGAAGUGUUGCUUGCGCUGGCGUUAUUAAUCUUGAUCGUUUUAUCACCAGCGAUUUGUGAAGACGCGGAAGAUGAAGACUACAAUGAUCCAUGGGGUGGUAUAUGGAAUAGAACAGAUGAUGAUUUUGGGAAUGGACCUAGUCAUGUCGUAUUAAAUAUUCCAUUAUGGCAAAAUAUCACGAAAAUCAAAGGCUAUACAAAAAUGGGAAAUAUCGAGAAGUAGAAUAAUUUCAUUCAUUAAGGUGCGAAACUGGCUAAGCAUAAAUUGCCAAGGAUAAAUCGAGGAGAAUGAUAAGCAAAACAGGACAAGUGAUAAUAAUGUCUAACAACGCUACGAUAGCAAUUUUAUUAGAUUAUAAUUUACUGUGUCUAUGUGGGAGACAUUGUUCACGUUUUGAACCAUCAGAUUCACCGUCAGUUAUGUAUAGCAAUAUUUGGCAGACUGCAAUGAAAUAUAUUGAUUCAAAGUGUCGCAUGAGAAUCAUGUUAUAUGUUAUUGUUAUAUUUUUUUAUUAAAAAAGCUU
rnacentral:lncRNA from 1 species